rnacentral:miRNA from 6 species
UAGCAGCACAUCAUUACUGGUA